UGGGGAAUAUUGGACAAUGGGCGAAAGCCUGAUCCAGCCAUGCCGCGUGUGUGAAGAAGGUCUUCGGAUUGUAAAGCACUUUAAGUUGGGAGGAAGGGCAGUUACCUAAUACGUGAUUGUUUUGACGUUACCGACAGAAUAAGCACCGGCUAACUCUGUGCCAGCAGCCGCGGUAAUACAGAGGGUGCAAGCGUUAAUCGGAAUUACUGGGCGUAAAGCGCGCGUAGGUGGUUAGUUAAGUUGGAUGUGAAAUCCCCGGGCUCAACCUGGGAACUGCAUUCAAAACUGACUGACUAGAGUAUGGUAGAGGGUGGUGGAAUUUCCUGUGUAGCGGUGAAAUGCGUAGAUAUAGGAAGGAACACCAGUGGCGAAGGCGACCACCUGGACUGAUACUGACACUGAGGUGCGAAAGCGUGGGGAGCAAACAGGAUUAGAUACCCAAGUAGUCCCUGAGCGGGCUGGCAAGGCG
rnacentral:rRNA from 1 species